GAGUAGGGGGUUCUGUGUUACGUGAGGGAGGGAGUCAAAUGGAAAAGUAAAUCUAGGGAUAAGUAAAUAAGAGAGGGUUAAAAAAGUAAAUUAGAAAUUACAAAAAAGGUUAUAUUUGUAAUAUAACAAAAAUUAAAAAAAAAUAAAAAAAAAAUGGGGAGAUAGAAAGCCAAAAAUGUGGGGAUCAACCCCCAGGAAAAAAUAGGCUCAGUAGUACCAGAGACGCACACAGUGAGCCCAAUGGAUAUUAUUGAUAAAAAUAGGAGGUUUUCUUCCUGCAACCCAUGUUGUUUCUUCU
rnacentral:lncRNA from 1 species